rnacentral:rRNA from 1 species
CCUACGGGAGGCAGCAGUUAGGAAUAUUGGACAAUGGGCGCAAGCCUGAUCCAGCCAUGCCGCGUGAGUGAUGAAGGCCUUCGGGUUGUAAAGCUCUUUAGCCGAUGAUUAUAAUGACUGUAGUCGGAAAAUAAGCCCCGGCUAACUUCGUGCCAGCAGCCGCGGUAAUACGAAGGGGGCGAGCGUUAUUCGGAAUCACUGGGCGUAAAGCGUGCGUAGGUGGCUAUGUAAGUUAGAAGUGAAAGCCCAGGGCUCAACCUUGGAAUUGCUUUUAAAAACUACAUAGCUCGAAUCUCGGAGAGGACAGCGGAAUUUCCAGUGUAGCAGUGAAAUGCGUAGAUAUUGGAAGGAACACCAGUGGCGUAAGCGGCUGUCUGGACGAGUAUUGACACUGAGGCACGAAAAGCGUGGGGAUCAAACAGGAUUAGAUACCCUGGUAGUCCACGCUGUAAAACGAUGUGUGCUGUCGCGUGGGAGGUACGUACUCUUCGGUUGGUACGGAGGACGUAACGACGUUAAGUACGACACCGACCGUCGGGAAGGUAACGGACCGGCCGAAACGGUUAAAAACGUUAAACGUAAAAGAAAAGUUAAGUACGGACGUUGAGACGNGCCGACGGACGACACGAGGGAAGGAGGAG